CUCCUCGUGAAGUAGGCAGACCCCAGCUUGCUGGGAUAAUAAUUCUCAUGCUAUUACACCGAUCUCUAGCCUCAUGUCUCAUUCAUAGGAGUCUCCUGCAAGUCAAGUCUUACAGCUCAAUCUCUCCCUGUUCUGUGCCUCAGGCCUGCGCCCAGUUCUCAGUAUCCUGACAAUGCAGGUAUCAUCAAAUGGAGGUCCCACAGAAAUCAGGAAAGUGAGGAAAAACCUGAGGAGAUGUGCCGGGAAGCUGGCCAGCGAUGUGAAGGAACAAAUUGGGAAAUGGGCCACUAAGAGCCUCAGUAAGCAGUAUACAGGAGACCGUGGGAAUUAAAAGCCCGUGCAAAGAAAAAUAAAGAUUUGGGCCAGUGGUGAGUAAACCUUGUAAAAAGGGACAAUGUAGGGUUGGGGAUUUAGCUCAGUGGUAGAGCGCUUGCCUAGCAAACGCAAGGCCCUGGGUUCGGUCCCCAGCUCCUGGGGGAAAAAAAAAGGGACAAUGUAAUAAUGGUAAAGUGUUUUUGUAUAUGUGUUCUUUUAUGCUUUUAGUCUUUGGACCCUGACUAGAGACAGUUUACACCCUAGACAUGAGAGAGAAUGGGUUUGAGGAAAACAGUCCUCCGGGACUCCCCGUGGAUGCUUUGAAGAAAGAAAAGGAAAAUGAGCUUAAGCUAUUUUGGAGCUCUCCUAGGGGACAGAAGGAGGGUGGGAGCCUCCUUGGCCGAUUGGAGAAGUGCUUAUUUCUGGUUCUAGGUCCUUUAGGAAGGAUAUCUGGGUCCCUUUGGUGUGGGAUGCCAUCUAGUUCUUUCCCUCUAUGUCUAUUGUCUGUCCUUGGUGCACCAAGCUGUCCAUGUAUGUCAAUCCAUGUCUGUGGUUUUUGCUUCUCAUUGUUUGAAUGUUUUGUGUUUCAUGUUUAAAUGAAAAAAUGGUUAAAACUUUAAAUGCUGGUUGAUUCACCCCUUGAUUUAGUUUUAACUCCUUUCAAGAAAGGAAAAAAUAAAUAAAAAGCAGUUUCAAUAGGCCUUUGCCCUACAUCUGUAGCUAGUAGCCUAGAUCAGCUGGAGAAACCCCUCCAAGUGGCUGAAUGUUUGCAGGAGCGGAUCUUAAAAGGGCCAGCAGUUUCACAGCUUCUAUGGUAAUGGGGCUGAUGGCUGUUUCUCUUAGAAAAAUCUCUGACUGUGAUUAUUGGAUUCAACAGGUGAUAAGGUGCUUCUCUUAAAUUACAGCAAGAAAAAUUAAAAAUGGUGUUUGGUUUAAAUAUUAAAGAUAUGUGUAGCCACUUCAUUUUUUGUUUCUGAUUGGUUGUAAAUGUAUAAUAUGCUGUACAGGUCUUGGUUACAGAUUACUGACUUUUAAGUUAUUGGGUAUGGUUAAAAAUGUGUAACGCUGGUAACAAAGUUGGCUUAAAACUGGAGUCAUUCUAGACAACACGUGGCAUGAACCAACCCAGGGAAACAGGUCUAGAUUGGGAUAAUAUUUUUAUGUAAACCAGACUUAUAAAAGAAUUUAGGGCAAUGUCUCUUUGUUGAGGUAUUAGAGCCUGCACCAUCGUUCGUUCAUAUGCAAGAAUUGGCAGUCAUACUUUAUAGCAUGAGGAAUGGACUUGGUGUUUUGAGGAGACUGGAUUUUGGAGAAUAGAUUGUUGGAGGUUGAGUUUUGCUUUCAAAAGCUGUGGUUGUGCUCUGGUGUUACAAGGAAAACUUAAAGAUUUCUAACUCACACAUAUUUGCAAUUUAAAGAAAAAUCAAACAGGUGGAGAUUGUUACAGGAUUUACGAAGGUUUGAUGAGGCUAUGGAACUUAUAAGAGCAUUACGGCCUGUUUGCUCACUCCAACUGCUAUUUCAAGAAAUACAUAUAGAAUUAUUAUAAAUUUAAGAGAUUGUUUUCAUGCUGUUUUUUAUAUAGAAAUUUAUUAGCUUAUCCCUCUGGAGG
ensembl:lncRNA